UGCGUGAAGUCGGAAUCGCUAGUAAUCGCGGAUCAGAAUGUCGCGGUGAAUACGUUCCCGGGUCUUGUACACACCGCCCGUCACACCACGAGAGUUUACAACACCCGAAGUCAGUGGCCUAACCGCAAGGAGGACGCCGCCGAAGGUGGGGUUGAUGAUUAGGGUUAAGUCGUAACAAGGUAGC
rnacentral:rRNA from 1 species